GGAGUGAACGCUGGCGGCAGGCCUAACACAUGCAAGUCGAACGGCAGCACAGGGGAGCUUGCUCCCUGGGUGGUGAGUGGCGGACGGGUGAGGAAUACAUCGGAAUCUGCCCAAUCGUGGGGGAUAACGUAGGGAGACUUACGCUAAUACCGCAUACGACCUUCGGGUGAAAGCGUGGGACCGCAAGGCCGCGCGCGAUUGGAUGAGCCGAUGUCGGAUUAGCUUGUUGGCGGGUAAAAGCCCACCAAGGCGACGAUCCGUAGCUGGUCUGAGAGGAUGAUCAGCCACACUGGAACUGAGACACGGUCCAGACUCCUACGGGAGCAGCAGGUUGGGAAUAUUGGACGAAGUGGGCGCAAGCCUGAUCCAGCCAUCGCCGCGUGUGUGAAGAGGUCCGUUCGGUUAGAAGCUAUUUGUACCGAAAGAAAGCUACUCGGUUAAUAGUCGAAGACGUCCGUAGACGGUACCGGAAGAAGUAAGCGACCGGCUAACGUCAGCC
rnacentral:rRNA from 1 species